CCCUUAGAUGUUCUGGGCGGCCCGCGCACUACAAUGGCGUGUGCAGCGAGUGCCGAAGUAGAGUUUUCCGAGGUAUUCUUGCAAUGCUCGUUUUGAUGGGGAUAGACCCUUGCAACUGUUGGUUUUGAACGAGGAAUUCCUUGUAAGCAUGGUUUAUCAUCCGACGCUGAAUGCGUCCCUGCCCUUUGUACACACCGCCCGUCGCUACUACCGAUCGGAUGGUUUAGUGAGACCCUCGGACUGGUCCCGCUGUCGGACAGGCAACUGUUUGCAGCGCGUGCGCCGGGAAGAAGGUCGAACUUGACUAUCUAGAGGAAGUAAAAGUCGUAACA
rnacentral:rRNA from 1 species